UUCGCAAUGCCCGAAAGGGUGACGAAGCGACGCCGCGUGUGGGAAGAAGGCCUUCGGGUUGUAAACCGCUGUCGGGAGUUAAGAAAUGUGGGGAUGUUAAUAGCGUCCUUGCUUGACUAAGGCUCCGGAGGAAGCCACGGCUAACUCUGUGCCAGCAGCCGCGGUAAUACAGAGGCGGCAAGCGUUGUUCGGAAUUAUUGGGCGUAAAGAGCACGUAGGCGGCCGUGCAAGUCGGUUGUGAAAGCCUUCCGCUUAACGGAAGAACAGCAGCUGAUACUGCAUGGCUCGAGUGCGGGAGGGGAGAGCGGAACUUCUGGUGGAGCGGUGAAAUGCGUAGAUAUCAGAAGGAACGCCGGCGGCGAAGGCGACUCUCUGGUCCGUAACUGACGCUGAGUGUGCGAAAGCUAGGGGAGCAAACGGGAUUAGAUACCCCGGUAGUCCUAGCCGUAAACGAUGGGCACUAAGUAGAGGGGUUUU
rnacentral:rRNA from 1 species